GACCCAUUGUAGAGUACUUUUAGUUCUGGUAAAUGAUUUGCUCUUGGGAGAUAUAUACAAAUUAGAUAUUUUUUCUUCUUUGGAAUUAUACGAUGAUGAGUAUGAUGUCUUUUAGGGACAGUGGUCAUACUUAGAGGGUCAUAAUGUCAUUCACCACCACUUCUUGGGAAGGGUGCCUACUAGAAUGAAGGAUAGGGAACUCUGGGAGCUUGAUCUUGACUUACAAUUAGUGCCUCAUGUUUCAUAUCUUAUCAAUUAAUGUACAUUAAAGAAGAGACAUUAUCAUCUGCUUUGCUAUUGCAAUCUAAGGACUAUGAGAUCUUUCUAUCUGACACACAAACAAAAACUUCUAAAUAUUUUUUUUCCUUUUGACAUGAGAUCUUUGAAAGUAGGGACAGCCUUACUUUUCUAUUUUUAUCCUUAGCUUUUAGCAUAGUGUAGUGCAUACAAUAAGUGCUCAGUAAGUAUUUCAUUCAUUCAUUCACAUUCCAUGAUUCAAAGGAGAUGGGAAAUAGUUUCUGAAUAGUCAGAGGAUCAUAGAUUCUAAGCCAGAAGGGACUUUAGAAAUCAUCAAGUCUAAAAGUUCUAGCUGUGUGUCCCUGGACAAGUCACUUAACCCUGAUUGCCUAGCCCUUGCUGCUGUUCUGUCUUAGAAUUGGUAUUAAGACAUAUGAGAAGGGUUUAAAAAAAGAAAAGAAAUCAUCAAGUCCAAGCCUUUCAUUUCACAGAUGAAGCACAAAGUAUUUAAGUGUCACCCAGUGCCACACAUCCAAGAAGUAUCUGAACCCGGAUUAGAAGUCAGAUCGAUGUCAUUUAGCUUCUUCAAUAAUAGACACACACAGAUGCUGUGACAUGGGCACAUCCCUUUAUCUUUCAGCCUCAGGGAACAAUCUAAGAUUCUAAGCUAUGACCUACCUUCAGUUAUGCAUUGAUAGAGGAGAUUUCUACACUUCUUGCCACAUGGAUGAAAUAAUGGUCUAUCUCUGCCACCCCAACUUGUACUGUAUUAUUAAAUUUCAUGUAUUUGUCUUAUUCAGGACCAAAAAAAAAGCCAUUACUGUGAGUGCUCUGUCAGAGGAAAGUGAUCAUAACCACUACAGUUCCAUGGUCCUAUGAUCCCUCCAUGCCUU
rnacentral:lncRNA from 1 species